rnacentral:rRNA from 1 species
GGCUCAAAUCAGGUAGGAUUACCCGCUGACUUAACUNUAU